GUUAUAUGGUCAAGCGAAUAAGCGCACACGGUGGAUGCCUUGGCGGUCAGAGGCGAUGAAGGACGUGGCAGCCUGCGAAAAGUGUCGGGGAGCUGGCAACAAGCUUUGAUCCGGCAAUAUCCGAAUGGGGAAACCCACUGCUUCGGCAGUAUCCUGCAGUGAAUACAUAGCUGCUGGAAGCGAACCCGGUGAACUGAAAUAUCUAAGUAACCGGAGGAAAAGAAAUCAACCGAGAUUCCCUAAGUAGUGACGAGCGAACGGGGACUAGCCCUUAAGCUGGUAUGGUUCUAGAAAAACAACCUGGAAAGGUUGGCCAUAGAAGGUGAUAGCCCUGUAUUUAAAAGGGCCAUUCCAGUGAAGACGAGUAGGGCGGGGCACGUGAAACCCUGUCUGAACAUGGGGGGACCAUCCUCCAAGGCUAAAUACUCCUGACCGACCGAUAGUGAACCAGUACCGUGAGGGAAAGGCGAAAAGAACCCCGGAGAGGGGAGUGAAAUAGAUCCUGAAACCGUGUGCGUACAAGCAGUAGGAGCUCGCAAGAGUGACUGCGUACCUUUUGUAUAAUGGGUCAGCGACUUACUGUUCGUGGCAAGCUUAACCGUAUAGGGGAGGCGAAGGGAAACCGAGUCUGAUAAGGGCGCAUAGUCGCGGGCAGUAGACCCGAAACCGGGUGAUCUAGUCAUGCCCAGGGUGAAGGUCAGGUAACACUGACUGGAGGCCCGAACCCACUCCCGUUGCAAAGGUAGGGGAUGAGGUGUGAUUAGGAGUGAAAAGCUAAUCGAACCCGGAGAUAGCUGGUUCUCCUCGAAAGCUAUUUAGGUAGCGCCUCGGACGAAUACUGCUGGGGGUAGAGCACUGUUAUGGCUAGGGGG
rnacentral:rRNA from 1 species